rnacentral:rRNA from 1 species
GUGCUAUCAUGCAGUCUAGCGGACAGAUGGGAGCUUGCUCCCUGAUGUUAGCGGCGGACGGGUGAGUAACACGUGGGUAACCUGCCUGUAAGACUGGGAUAACUCCGGGAAACCGGGGCUAAUACCGGAUGGUUGUUUGAACCGCAUGGUUCAGACAUAAAAGGUGGCUUCGGCUACCACUUACAGAUGGACCCGCGGCGCAUUAGCUAGUUGGUGAGGUAACGGCUCACCAAGGCGACGAUGCGUAGCCGACCUGAGAGGGUGAUCGGCCACACUGGGACUGAGACACGGCCCAGACUCCUACGGGAGGCAGCAGUAGGGAAUCUUCCGCAAUGGACGAAAGUCUGACGGAGCAACGCCGCGUGAGUGAUGAAGGUUUUCGGAUCGUAAAGCUCUGUUGUUAGGGAAGAACAAGUGCCGUUCAAAUAGGGCGGCACCUUGACGGUACCUAACCAGAAAAGCCCACGGCUAACUACGUGCCCAGCAGCCCGCGGUAAAUACGUAGGUGGCAAGCGUUGUCCGGAAUUAUUGGGCGUAAAGGGCUUCGCAGGCGGUUUCUUAAGUCUUGAUGUGAAAAGCCCCGGCUCAACCCGGGGGAAGGGUCCAUUUGGAAACUGGGGGAACUUUGAAUUGC